rnacentral:rRNA from 1 species
AGAGUUUGAUCCUGGCUCAGAACGAACGCUGGCGGCAUGCCUAACACAUGCAAGUCGAACGAUUGCCUUCGGGUGAUAGUGGCGCACGGGUGCGUAACGCGUGGGAAUCUGCCCUUAGGUUCGGAAUAACAGCUGGAAACGGCUGCUAAUACCGGUUGAUAUCGCGAGAUCAAAGAUUUAUCGCCUGAGGAUGAGCCCGCGUUGGAUUAGGUAGUUGGUGGGGUAAAGGCCUACCAAGCCGACGAUCCAUAGCUGGUCUGAGAGGAUGAUCAGCCACACUGGGACUGAGACACGGCCCAGACUCCUACGGGAGGCAGCAGUGGGGAAUAUUGGACAAUGGGCGCAAGCCUGAUCCAGCAAUGCCGCGUGAGUGAUGAAGGCCCUAGGGUUGUAAAGCUCUUUUACCCGGGAAGAUAAUGACUGUACCGGGAGAAUAAGCCCCGGCUAACUCCGUGCCAGCAGCCGCGGUAAUACGGAGGGGGCUAGCGUUGUUC